rnacentral:rRNA from 1 species
UACGUAGGGUGCAAGCGUUGUCCGGAAUUAUUGGGCGUAAAGAGCUCGUAGGCGGUUUGUUGCGUCGGCUGUGAAAUCCCGAGGCUCAACCUCGGGUCUGCAGUCGAUACGAGCAAACUAGAGUGUUGCAGGGGGAGACUGGAAUUCCUGGUGUAGCGGUGAAAUGCGCAGAUAUCAGGAGGAACACCGGUGGGCGAAGGCGGGGUCUCUGGGCA